rnacentral:rRNA from 1 species
AGUGAACGCUGGCGGUAGGCCUAACACACGCAAGUCGAACGGCAGCACAGUAAGAGCUUGCUCUUACGGGUGGCGAGUGGCGGACGGGUGAGGAAUACAUCGGAAUCUACUUUUUCGUGGGGGAUAACGUAGGGAAACUUACGCUAAUACCGCAUACGACCUACGGGUGAAAGCAGGGGAUCUUCGGACCUUGCGCGAUUGAAUGAGCCGAUGUCGGAUUAGCUAGUUGGCGGGGUAAAGGCCCACCAAGGCGACGAUCCGUAGCUGGUCUGAGAGGAUGAUCAGCCACACUGGAACUGAGACACGGUCCAGACUCCUACGGGAGGCAGCAGUGGGGAACAUUGGACAAUGGGCGCAAGCCUGAUCCAGCCAUACCGCGUGGGUGAAGAAGGCCUUCGGGUUGUAAAGCCCUUUUGUUGGGAAAGAAAAGCAGCAGGUUAAUACCCCGCUGUUCUGACGGUACCCAAAGAAUAAGCACCGGCUAACUUCGUG